GGACAGAAACUGCAGGCGCCAGGUCCAGCUCUGUAACUGAGGUUACAAAACAACACAGGUUCCUGCCUCCUAGGAGUUGCCCAGGACUCCCAAGCAGGAAGAUUUUGACCACGUUUGGGAACCCACCCCUCACCUCAGUCACACAGCAUAUCCUAGUAACUGGUCUUGUCACAAAGGACAGGUUGGUGCCCUCAACUCCAGUCCUCACCUUGGUGUGGACUUCCUUCACCUAACCAGGGUCCAGGAAGAUGCAGAAAACCAGGUCAUCAAUGUUAAUAACAGUCCGGUCAUCAAUGUUAAUAACAGUCCAGGCAAGGGCAAAAAGAAUCUGGGGGUCGGCAACCUUGGCCUCCAAACUUCUGAGGAGUUGGGCUGUAGAUAAGAGUACCUCCGGAGAGGCAGGGACUAAUGGGAGAGACAGUGCAAGAGCUCCAGUCUGUGAGUCUUGAGGAGGCUGGAUGAGGCCAGAGGACCCACUUUCCCCAUCUCAGGAACCAGCCAGGCUCCAGCUUUCAGCCAAGCUUGUGAGGGUUCCUGUACCAUAGCAGACCCCAGGCCAAAAGGGAAGGGGUUCACCUGCAGCAGAGAAGCUAGCUGCUUGGUCACCUUGGCCAUGCAGCACAUGCAGGGCUGGGACAUCCUCAGUCACAGGUGAUGCUAAUGCCUCCCCCACCCCACCCCACAAAAUGCCCUUGCCAGAUCUGACUGGCUGCUUCCCACAACAGUGGCAGAACACUUGUAGGGAUGUGAACAGCCCCUGCCAAGCUAGAGGUGCUAGAACCUGACUAGGGAGAUCAAUUUUUCAUAAAGAUUGGAAAUGAGAGGAUUGGUGUGUAUGUGCUGUUUUCUAAUUUUUAUUGUGUGGCAUUGGGGACUAACCCAGGCAAGCAUUCUACCACUGAGCUAUAUUGCC
rnacentral:lncRNA from 1 species